GAGAGUAUGUGUGUGUGUGUGUGUGUGAGAGAGAGAACGAGAGAGAGAAAGAGAGAGAGAGAGAGAAAGCGUUGAGUGUUAACAAGGGUGGGCAAAAGAGAAGGGCUCGUAGAACGGGCUGGGUGUGAAAGAUAUGAAGUGGUCAAUUGGUUGAAGAGCCCGUUGCUUCUUUCAUGCCAGAACGGAUACGUGAAUCAUUUGGUGUUAACAAAGGAAAUAGUACAUGGAAAUUGAAUUUGACGUUAAUAGGAAGAAGUGUGUGAACAAACAGCCGAGCGAAACGGGACUUCGAUCUUUCACUUGAAUGAUUUAAUUCCAAUUCCCUUCUUUUGCACCCUUCAAUGGACGUAAUUAGAUCCGGCAAUUAGAGACGACAGGUCGAUUAAUUUCAAGGACGUAACUAAGAAGCCACGUUCAUUGUCACGAGAAGUCGAAGAUGCUUGCUAUUACAGAAGCGAAGGAUGUAAUAUCUGUCCACCGACCGCCAUAUUUCCUUCCGUGAACAUACAGAAUAAGUUAUUUUAAAAUUCUUCUGGGGAAACAGAGAAAAGGAGAAGAAAAAAAAAAAGAAAAAGAAAAAUAGAAAAAAUUCUUAUAAUUAUACGAACGUCUGAACAACU